CAAGCUACAAUCAAGUAGAAAAUGAAGCCUUCUGUGUCAUCUUCAGUCUCCUCCUACUGUCCUUUAAAGAAUUAUGUUUGGUUUACGGGGUUACAGAGAGGAAGAUAGAUGGGAGAGAAUCACCUUUACCCUACAAGCAGUCAUUCUUAAAAGAAGAUAAUUAAAUCAACAGUUUCACUGUUUUUCGCUGAAGCUGAAGUUGCUCGGAACUGCUGAAAUACACCCAGAUGUCAUGGACUGAAACAAAGGGAAUCCUACUCAGCUCAUAGGCAGCAGCACACACAGGGUGGCUCUGUUACUCAGUUUGUAAGCCAAGAACUUGAUGAAAAUCCAGGCCUUGUUGAAUCUGUUUGCUUCCAAGUUUCAAAAGUUCAGUCUGUUCUAUUUGGACUUCCCAGUGCCCUGAUGAACUAUUUAAUUUGAACAGUAACUGCAACAUAACUUCUAAGCAAAUGCUACAAUAACAUUAGUAUUAAAACCAGUAAAUGCUACUGGAGUUAACCGAAUUCUCUAGACAAUUGUCAAAAUGGAGAGUUACAUCAUUUGCUUUCCAUUGCCCAAGAGGAUUAAUUUUUGAAAAUAAACUUGUGAGGAAUAUACUAACAAGCAAGUCUAACUAUAAAAAUAGUCUGCAGUAUACAGUGAGACUUUGUUUUCCAUAGCAUAAGCUCAAGUUGGUGGUGUUUAGGAUGUCAUAGUUUCUUACAGUUGUGUAUUUACUUGAGGUAUACACAAUAAAUAGUUUGUUUUAAUUUACUGGUCAAGUUUGUAAUAUAGUUUGUAGAUUAGCAGCCUGAAGUCUCUGGAAAUAAGAUAUCAACAAACAAAAGCAUGAGUUUAGUCGAGUAUUUCCAGUACAGGCCGAAGAGGCCAAAAGUUGUUCAUAGUUGUGUGUUCCAUUGGUGUUGAUGUGGUUACAUGCACAUAAUGAAGAGCAAAACUUAUCCGAUUGACUUAAAGAUUAAAGCAUGUAAAUACCUGAAGUUAAGCUCUGCUGUUCAUAUUGCAUAAGAAAAGAGGAGGAUCUGAACUUUUCAUUAGUAUUACACUCUCAGGUUUAUGCUGACUGGUUCUAAUUAUGCUGUUUCUAGUAUGCCAACUAGAGAAAAGAUGCAGCUUUUCUGAAUACAGCAAA